rnacentral:rRNA from 1 species
AACGAACGCUGGCGGCAUGCCUAACACAUGCAAGUCGAACGAGACCUUCGGGUCUAGUGGCGCACGGGUGCGUAACGCGUGGGAACCUGCCCUUAGGUUCGGCAUAACUCCCCGACAGGGGUGCUAAUACCGGAUCAUGUCUUCGGACCAAAGAUUUAUCGCCUUUGGAUGGGCCCGCGUUGGAUUAGCUAGUUGGUAGGGUAAAAGCCUACCAAGGCGACGAUCCAUAGCUGGUCUGAGAGGAUGAUCAGCCACACUGGGACUGAGACACGGCCCAGACUCCUACGGGAGGCAGCAGUGGGGAAUAUUGGACAAUGGGCGGAAGCCUGAUCCAGCAAUGCCGCGUGAGUGAUGAAGGCCUUAGGGUUGUAAAGCUCUUUUACCCGGGAUGAUAAUGACAGUACCGGGAGAAUAAGCUCCGGCUAACUCCGUG